GGUGUUUGAAGCCAUUCAAAUGAAAAGGGAAGCCGGUUCAAAUCCGGCGCAACAGCCAUUACUGUAUUCGGUAUGCGUGUGCCAUGAGCCAUUGAAAGCGAUUUCGAGAAGGCGGCGCACGUGAAGCCGUCAGCCAGGAGACCUGCCCUGCGGA
rnacentral:ncRNA from 1 species